UAAAUACUGAGUCCAAAUCCGAUGGGCAAUCGGGCAUCAGAAUUCAUCGAUAUGUAAUCCUGAUCGAAAAGUUUCAACCAGUGGGACUCUUGAUCCCGGUACCCAUAAUGUGUGGAACUCAUGAUUAGAGAAUCCUGAUUCUCGAUCACUGAGUUUCAAACAUGUAGGAUUCUACACCAGCCAUCAGAUCAGAUAGGAACCUCUAAUGUGUGUGACCCCAUAGGUUCGAACCUAAGCCGGUAGCACAGGAACCAAUUCUUGUACUAAUCGAAGUAACCAUCUAGCAGUGGUACCCGACAUCUGGAUAGGUUGAAUAGUCGCAAUCGCAACACUCAGAACCUACAUGAAUAUGGUUACUGUAUAAUUCAUCCUUUUGACCCUUGUGUUUAGGACGACUCAGGGUUAAACUGUCAACCCUGAUCAGAUCAUCCGAAUCGUGCUCAACUCAAACAGUCUUGUGACUCCUCACAAGGAUUACCCUAGCCAAAGUUUUGCUAAAUUAAAAUACGAUUGUACACAGCUCCUAAACUGGAGUGGUCAAUCCUAUCUUGACAUACGCACCGACAAGUCAAGUACUUGACUACACCCAUAGCCUUCCAUCAUUGAAUUAGAAAUUCAGGUAGUCCAGUGCCUAAGUGCAGUGAGUUGCUUGUAAGUCACCGUGGCGGUCUC
rnacentral:lncRNA from 1 species